UACGGGGGGGGCAAGCGUUGUUCGGAAUUACUGGGCGUAAAGGGUUCGUAGGUGGCCUGCUAAGUCAGACGUGAAAUCCCUCAGCUUAACUGGGGAACUGCGUCUGAGACUGGUGGGCUUGAGUGCAGGAGAGGAACGCGGAAUUCCAGGUGUAGCGGUGAAAUGCGUAGAUAUCAGGAAGAACACCGAUGGCGAAGGCAGGUCUCUGGGCUGACACUGACGCUCAUGCACGAAAGCGUGGGGAGCAAACAGG
rnacentral:rRNA from 1 species